rnacentral:piRNA from 1 species
UCCAAACGUGGAAGGGAAAUGGG